rnacentral:lncRNA from 10 species
GAGGCUGGGCAGCUAUCUCUUCUUCAGCCUUGAAUAUAAACCUGUGGGCAGAGGAGCGACGCACUGUGCCAGCAGGAACCCGUUUCAGUGCAGGAGAGACCUGCUCCUCAUCUUCCAGCAGCCAAGCAAGAUCGCCAACACAAUUAAGCAGCUGUUUAAGAGAAAGCAACAAAAAAGAAGUCCACUUGCACCCAGAAAAUAAAAUGGGCCGUUUUUCACACUUUAUUCCUGUUAUAAUUGUUCAUUUUCAGUAGGCCCUUAGAAGACUAUUUUAAGAAGAGAUUUCAUCCAGUAUGGUCAGAGAGCAGUGCUUCUCCACCGCCUUCCAGGCUAAAAGUUGGCUUUUGUUUUAAACAACACUCAGGGAAACUGCUACGUGACUAGGACGAUGGUGGCCAAUGCAAGUGGCGGCACCCACCUCCCCUUGUGUGCAGUGGGAAGAGCUGCUCUCCUUGCUCUGAGGCCACGCAAGGACACAAGGGCAAGGGCUCAAUUUCAUAGGAGGAGGGUCUCUGAGGUGCUUCCCUUGUGUCUAAGAAGCCAACUUCCAAGGAGGAGGGAGCGGAUACUUGGGAACUGCAGAUACGGUGACCUGCAGCCCUGGGUGCCACCCGGUCCCCAGAGCUGAGCUCCCAGACUAUGCCAAGAGAUAUCAGAAGGCUUUGGUCCAGUAAGUCCUGCUUCUCUUUGUCCCACCUCCUGUCCCUCCCAUGUCACCUGCCUCCCUUCUCCCCACUCUGUCCUCUGGAUCCUUCCCUUCCUUCUUUCAUGGAGGGGAGGAAGGAGAGCCCUGGUGGCUUCCUGGAGGGAACGCUGACUCCUCCUCCCAUUGGAAUGAAUUUACUCCUCACCCUUGGACUCUCUCCUCACCUGACUCAUGGAGAAAACUGAGGGCUGCUCCUGACCCGUGGGCCCAAACUGAUGCACAAGCUAUGUCAACUUACUUUUAACCCCACAGGUGUACAAGUCUGUGUUUAUUAGCAAUGCCCACAGCUGCCACAAAAAUAGCAGGCAGCUCAGGGCAGUCUAAACACGAAAGUGGCCUGGGAGCUAAGCAGGAUUUCACCUUCAUGUUCCUCAGCCCAGAGAGUCCAAUUUGUACCCAUGGGCCAGGCUGGCACCCACCCAGAAUGCCAGCCAGCGAGAGAACCUACAACUGCACCUUGGCACCAGCCUGUCUCCAAGACAAGCACCUGACCAGCUGUUCCUGCAUCCUGGAUGCCAUGUCCUCCUCCUAGAAAGUGCAGUCCCAGGAAGAAGAGGAGAAGUCGCAGGACAGGGGUUUGCAGGACAGGAGGGGCCGUGAUCAUCCCCAUGCUGGUCUAGUCUCCACACCCCAAGCCUGCUCUCAGGGGAGCCGCUUCUGGGAUGAAUGCAUGAACACGGCCUCCACAGUGCCAGCCUGAACCCCCCACCUCUUUAGACAAGUUUUACAUCCUGGUGAACAUCUUCCCAGGGAUCUGAUCAGAAGCAAUUCUUUGGUUUUCCAGUUUUCCCAGGAGGAAGGUGGCCUACCAGGUUGGGACAGAUAGAUGGCAUUCAAACACCAAGGAUGACGAGCUCGCUGCCCUCCAGGUCCUGUCGCAUUCUGGGGACCUGAGUGGCUGGGGAUGUGGAGCACACCUGCAGAACAGGAGAGAACAUUCCAAACCCUUCUCUAACUGGCACUGAAGAAAGUGCGAGCCAUUACCAGCAUUCUCUCUUCCGAUACUCUCCAAAGUUUUUAGUAUCUACAAGACUUUUAAUUUCAUAUAAAAUAUUUCAGAAAAAUCGAAUUGGCCCUUGUCAAGUGAAUUUUGACUUUUAGAAAAGAGUCAUAAAUUAUUCAAACCUAAGUAUCACUACAGAGCUAGGAAAAAUAACUUUAAAAUACAUACUGAAUUUUUGGAAGGGCUGCUUACUCUCACUAGUAUUUUAAAGUUAUUUCUCCCCGAAGCAUGAAUAGAAAUUUUAUAAAAUGCAAAUGUCAGGACAUCUGAACUCUGAAUUCUUUUCUAUUACCCUAACAUUCUCUACUUCCUUCCCUCAGCCUAGCCAUCACUGUAGUUAAUAAUUAAAUAAAGUAAGGCUCAUCACUCACUAAAUGCAAGCUCUCACCUUGGCAGGAAGCUUAUGGUAAGUCUAAUGCAUUAGAAGUUGAAAAAAAAUUCUUACAAAAAGCAGCAAAUCAUAACAGCUGCUAAAUUUUCCCCU